CACAGAUGGGCCAGUGGCCAUGGUUGGCUCUGCUGCAAUGGGAGGUAUACUGCUUGCAUUAAUAGAAGGUGCGGGAAUUCUGCUCACGAGGUUCGCCUCAGCACAAUUCCCAACUGGCCCACAGUUUGCAGAAGAACCCGCUCCCAUGCCUGCUUCAUCAUUUGGAGACUAUAGACAGUUCCAAUGAGAAGCCCUUUAAAACUCAAGGCCUUUUCUUAUUCCAUGAACUCAUCUAAGACACUGAAGUUACAGUGUGGAUCUCAUUCAUUAACAGAGCAUGCCACCAACCAGGAAUGACUGUGACAAAGGGAAUAUGAAGGGCAAACACUAUCGUUCCUGUCCUCGUGUUUGUCUUUAGUAUGCCUUUUGCUAUUCUCAGCUUUGUCAUUGGCCUAUGGGUCACCCUAUUUAAGUCAAAACUCAGUUCUAUGUUUUCAUCCACAUAUUCCGUUUUUGUUUUCUGUGAACUAAUUUUUUUGCUAACACAGCUGGAAAUGUUUGCUGAAGCAAUAGGUGUACUAUUUAAGUCAUGCUAGGUUAUUCGAGUUGAGCCCCAAUCAAUUGGCUAUAUAAAGUGUUUGUUGCAUGUGUGUGUGAAUGUGUUAAUACCUGUGUGUGUGUGUGCGCGCAGCCGCUGGCAUAAGAGUUUAGUACAUGCCUGACUGCCUGUGCACUGAUUGUUUGCCUUAAUGUAAACUUUCUCAUGGGCCUCAACAAGGUCGAAUUUACCAGUACUUAUUGGAGAUUUUUAUUGACUGUUCCAUGGCAAACCUCCUCUUGCAGAAUAUAUUCCUUCACAGUUUACUUUUUGAAGUAGCUAUUUAUUUUAUAGAAGUAAAACUUCCUUGUUUCAAGAUGUUAUGCUGUAUUGUACUUUAAAUAUUUCUCUACAGUGAAUGUUAGGAUCACAAAGGAUGCAUCAGGAAAAAAAGGUUUAUGAAUGGACAGAAUUAAUAGUCUCUUCUGGUGGAUAUAUGAGCCAAAUUAGGCUGAGAAACAUCAUAAAUAAACUAUAGUUAUUACUACUAUG